UUGUUUUUUUAAGUUUUAUUAUUUGGUAUUGUAUAUCAGUAGAAGUUUUUAUCAUAGUUAUGAGUAAUAGAAUUAAAAUGGUUAAAUUGAAUUUGUUUUUUUUUUACGAAAUUAAUAAUAUUUUUAUUUUAGUAUUGAUAUAACGUAUUUUUAUUUCUGUUUAUUUGUUAUUUAUAGGUUAAGUUAUACUGUUUUUGUUUGUAGAUUUUUAAAUUUUUGUUGCUGUUUUAUAAAUGUUGUGUGUUUUACAUAGAUUUUUAUUUUUUUUUUUUUUUUUUGAUUAAUUUUUUAAUUAAUUUAUGAUUUUUACUUUAGUAAUUUUUAUUAUUUUGAGGGGUGUUUGUUUUUGAAUUUAUGUUUUUGAACUGGUUUUGUUGCUAAAUGUUUAUUAAAAACUUAGGUUUUUAUGUAAAAUUGUCUUCUGCUCUAUGAGUUUUUAAAUGGCAGCCUUAGCGUGAUGGCGUAAAAGUAGCGUAAGUGAUUUGUUUUUUUAAUGGUUUCAAGUAUGAAUGAAGUUUUUAGCAGUUUUUUUAUUUACUUUUUAUUUGAAUUAUUUUUUUGAUUAAAAAUUAUUAGUUAAGGUAUUACAAAGAUAAGUCUUCGGAAAUUUUGUUUUGAAUUUUGAAAUUUUUGUUUUUAAUUUUUUCUUGGGGAUGGAUUUUAAGAAAGUUUUAUACUAUUGUUAUUAUUAAAAAUUACUCCGGAGUUAACAGGGUUGUAGACAUAUAAAUAGAUUUUUAUAUUAGUGUGCUGCGCUACAUCGAUGUUGUAUAUUUUUUUUGAUAAUGGAGAGGUUUUUUUUAUUUUGAGACUGUUCUUCUUGUAUAAAAAAUUGACUUGAUAUUAGUUUAGUUCGUCGUGAGACAGAGCGGUUUAUCUUGUGUAUUUUUGGUUUUUGGCGGUGUUAGUACGAAAGGAAUGCAAUGUGGGUUUAUAUUUAUGACUUUUUUAUUUUGAUGGGUUUUU
rnacentral:rRNA from 1 species